CUGUCCCUUCUUUUCAUGACCCGAACCGGCAGCCGCAUCAGAGAGAGAGAGAAGCUGCUGGUGGGGAACGGGGGACAGGAGGCUGCUCGAGGCUUUUGGCGCAGGGUAACGGGAGGAAACUUUUCUUCCCCCCCACCCCCUUUGAAGCAGGGAAGGGAGGGAACGUCUCAGGAGCUGGAGGCAGCUGUGGAGGAGGAGGAAGAUGCAGGGCACAUGCAGGCAGAUCCGGAGCAGGAGGAGCCGGAGCCCAGGCUCCGAGAAACCCCAGAGGACAUCUCCUUUGAAGCUGCUGCCAACACCAUUGCUUUCCACCCCAGCCAGGACAUCCUUGCAGCUGGCGAUGUGGACGGCGAUGUCUAUGUGUAUUCGUACUCUUGCCUGGAGGGUGGGAACCGGGAGCUCUGGUCCUCGGGACAUCACCUGAAAUCCUGCCGGGAAGUGUCCUUUUCCCACGAUGGACACAAGCUCUUCACCGUGUCUAAGGAUAAAUCCAUCCACAUUCUGAACGUGGAGGAGGGCCGACUGGUGACACGCUUCUCCAAGGCUCACAGGGGUCUUCACAGCUCAGCCCUCAACAGCCUGCUGGUGAUAGACGAGCACCUCUUUGCCACGGGGGACGAUGGUGGGAUGCUGAAGGUGUGGGACCUCCGCAAAGGCACAGCCAUCAUGGAGAUGCAGCAGCACGAGGAGUACAUCAGCGGCAUGGCCAUAGACGAGAACAAGAAGCUCCUGCUCACCACCAGCGGCGAUGGAACCAUGGGUGUCUUCAACAUCAAGAGACGGCGCUUUGAGCUGCUCUCAGAGCCUCAGAGUGGAGACCUGACGUCCGUCGUGCUGAUGAAGAGGGGGAAGAAAGUGGCGUGCGGCUCUAGCGAGGGGACCAUUUAUCUCUUCAACUGGGACGGUUUUGGUGCCACUAGCGACCGCUUUGCAGUGAAGGCUGAGUCUAUCGACUGCAUGGUCCCAGUCACGGAGAACGUCCUGUGCACAGGUUCCAUCGAUGGAGUCAUCAGGGCGGUGAAUAUCUUACCUAAUCGGGUGAUAGGCAGUGUUGGACAGCACCUGGGGGAGCCCAUUGAACAGCUGGCCAAGUCCCACACCGGUCAGCUGCUGGCCAGCUGUGGCCACGACCAGAAGGUGAAGUUCUGGGACAUCUCAUCACUCUGCUCCGUGGUGGUGGAUGAUUACCGGAAGAGGAAGAAGAGUGGGCAGCUGAAGGCCCUGAGCAGCAAAGCCUUGGGUGGCAGAGAGGACUUCUUUGCUGACCUGAGAGAGGAGGCAAAGGCACCGAAGGAGGAGCAGGAGAAGGAGAGCGACAGUGAUGACAGUGACUGACGGAAGCCCAGUGGCCUCUGGGAGAUUCCAUGGCCAGAAAGCUCCGUGGGGAUAUGGACUAUGAAGCCAGCAGAUUCUACAGCUGUGGGAAGGAUGCGUCCUCACUGUGUUGUGGAAGAAGCUGGAGGCCGAGCUCAUUUUCCCAUAGAGGACUGGCUCAUCUGGGAGUGUUCCUGCAGGCCAGAGUGCUAGCAGGGCCCUUGGUGCAGCUGAGCUGACGAGGCGCAACGUCCUUCUCUGUGUUCCUCAUUAAAGGCCGAUGGAGGUCGUAUGGGGAGAGGGGCUGGAGCCUCCUGCCAGCUGGGAUCUCCAGGCUUUGUUUGGAAAGAAGCAACAGUCCUGAUGGGGAAAGGAGUUUCUCCAGUUCUCUCUCUCCAGGAGGAAACAACAUACCUUGGCCCCCUCUCCACGCUCUGCCCCAGCCCCUCCCUUGUGAGCUCUUAUGAGCACUGGGUGCCUUAUGGGACCAGGGCUGAGCCCUGAAUUCCUUCCCCACUCCUGCUGGUUGGCAGGAGCCUGGAAGUGAAUGUGGUGGUCUGUGGUCCAGGAGCUCUCUCCAAACUCCUUUGUGCACCAAAGAAUCCCUGCAGUGAACAGUGUGAAUUCCAGCCCCUCUGCAUGGAGCACUGGGCCAGGGCCCUAGAGCAUCUGGCUGUGCUGGUCUAAAGCAGGUGCCUGAGCUCUGGGUGCUGCCUGUGGGAUGACACAGCAGAGGGUUCCCCGUUGCUCAUGUGUCACCAGAGAUGCUGAAAGCCACUUUCUCAGAACUGCUGCUUAGGCACCUGUUGUAACGAGAUGUGGGACAAGGAGAGGAGUGGGAAGAAGAAUCCCCCCCGGCUGCCAGCUGUGUUUCACACCGACCUCCUCCCUGGCCUCUUGAAGUUUGCUACAAAGUACUGAGCUCAGAGCCCCUUUGCUGGCCCAGGCGAUAUGGGCACUGCUGCCAGCUGUAUUUCUGUCAGGCCAGGCUCUCCCCAGCUACCCUCACAACUUCUCCUCCCUCUAAAGGUGUCUUCAAGAAAAACAACAGCUUCUCUCCAAGCUGAGAAGAUUCAUGUAGACAAGAAACUUGGACAAGCCACAGUGCAGGGCCCAGGUGCCGCUGUGUGCUCUGCAUGAGGCAAAGAGGCUUCCUGCGGUCUGGACUGUCCCUGGGUGUGUUGGCCCUGCUGCGAUGAUGGUGCAGGUGAAGCAGAUUUGCUACAUUUGCGUGGGCUACGUCCAGGGCCCCAUGUGCAGUGUCAUCGCCCAGAUGUGCCCAGAAAUCACUGUCACCGUAGUGGAUGUGAACAAGGAGAGGAUCCGGGCCUGGAACUUGGAUCAGCUGCCUGUCUUUGAAGUAUGGCUCAGCAAGGGGCCUGCAUUCCAGUGACUGGGGCAGGGUAUGGGGAAGGGCAGCCUUCUCGCUUUGAUUGCUGCAGAUCACUUGGUGGGGAGAAGGGACUCCCUGCCCCACCCUGGGCUGAGCUGACUCUCCACUGCAACGAGUGUGACUCCAGUCGUGGUAGAGGCUGCGGCACAGAGACCCCAGUGCCUUUUCAAAAGGAGCUGGAGUACGAGAGAAUCCACAAGGCGAUGCUCAAACCAGCCUCUAUCUUUGAUGGCAGGAGAAUCCUGGACAGUUUGCAUGAUUGGUUGCAGCAGUUAGGCUUUCAGGUGGAGACAAUCGGGAAGAUCAGCCAGAGAAUCCUGUUCAUGGCAAAUGACACCAAGCUGGACCUACUGGCUCCCCCUAAAGAAAAUUCCCUGCCUGGGAUCACAUGGUGUGACAUGGACCAAUCCUGGGGCUGAGAUUGUAGCUGCACACAGGGACCCAUCUGACCGCUGUGCCAUCCUGUAGCUCCAGGGCUGACCCUGCUGGCAGGCCCUCCCACUGCAACCGGCUCAACCCAGCCAAAGCCCUGGUGGGCCUGUCCUGCCUAACAUCCAAGCCUUGGCGGAUGGCAAAACUGGUUCUAGGGCAGCUUUUUAACUGUUGCAUUCACAUAAUUUGUGAACCUCAAAGUCCUUCACUUAACUUUUAAACUCCUGCCUUCCAUGUGCUUGUCUCUCUGCAGUGAGUACAUGGCACCAUCCUCCACCCUCUCUGCUGGGCAGGGGUGAGGAUGGAGCCUGCGGGCAGACUGGUCCCCCGUAUUUGUUCCUGCUCAGGACAUUCAUACAGUGUUUCAUUCCAGACUUUCAUAAUAAAACACAUUUGGCUGCCUUUAGGGCA